UUGUAAGGUGUUUUUUUGGCUCUCCUUUAGUUCGUUCUCUCCGUCGCCUCCCGAUCCCAGCCGUCAAGAGGCGCGAUCCCGCGCCGUGCUCGAUACGGUGCCGCGCCGGCCGCCGGCCGACGACGGCGAUUGCAGCGCCCUUCGCCACCGUUUCGCUUCAACUCCUCUCCUCCGCGUGCCUGAGCUCCUUGCUGUGCGCCGCCCGGGAGGGCUCGCACUCGAUGCAGAACAUCGGCGGACGGAACUUGCAGGACCCAGAUCCGUGCGUGGCGAUGGGGAGGUCGCCGGUGACGCGUAGGAAGGCCGGAGUGCGGCUUCCCGGGCGGAUCCAUGGCGGCCCCUGGGCAGAAAGGAGAUAUGAGGUGAGGGAGAAAGAACGGACGGUGCGACGAUCUCGGCAGGAACUCGCAGGAGCCAGGCGACGGUAGACAGGCGCGGGAGACAGAGGGAUCCGGCGCGGCGGCGCGAAGUCCUUGCAGGUGGAUGCAUGUUGGGUUCCUCCGGCUGUCACCGACGUGCACUGACAGGUGAGGAACAUAGAAACAUGGUGAGUAUUUGAGGUGCCUUCUUUAGUUUUAGAAUUGUCUAACCCUCUAGGUACAUAUUAGUAGGAUGGACAUACUUCUGCACAACAUGGCCUUGAAAUACAGAAAUAGAUUAUGUCUUUUGUUAGACUAGAUUGUUGCCUAUGUUAUGCUGUUUGCAGGCUAUAAUUGUUCAUGGAGCCAUGCAAUUGGAGCUGAGGAAAUUAUCUGCAUGGAAUGUAGACAGAGGGACGAUCCUCAAUUUGUUAAUUGCAGAGGCCCACAGAAAGUAAGGUCGAUCUGUGUUUAUUUGAUGGUACUCAUGCUGUCAGGAUUGAAUCCGUUGUCGGUAAAGAAAAUGUUGGCUCGGAUGUUAUGGGCACAACCGGUGAGAUGGUUGUUGUGUGGAUAGAGAAUCAGCUCCAUGAAAACAAAACAAAGGAGCUGAUAUUGCAAUAGGUUAACCAGCUGCGUGAGCAUCUACGGAGCCCGAACAGGGAGUCAACAGUCAGCUGCUAUCAGAUCUCGAAAAUGCGGGUUCUUUUAAGACCACCAUGGAUCCCUCACCCCAAGUCAUGAUCCAGUUGCUGAAUGUCCACAAGAAAAUUUAUGUAUUAAAGGGACCUCAUUCCCCAAGCUACUGGACGAAAAAUAAAAUGUAUGCAUGCGCCAAUGAAGUCCAACAAUUAAUCCUCAUGUGUGUCCAAAUAUUUUGUCUGAGAAGUCCGAAUGUUCAGUGUUGGAAAAGUAUACCUCCCGCUGAUAGAACAAGGGAAAGAUCGUUUCGUUGAUGGCGAGUUCACACUGAUGCUGAUCACCGGCGCGCGUUGGCAGUGUCAUGCUGCUUGGUCGGCACUGCAACUACACAGCUAAGCAGGAGGUAGGUGAGGUGGGCCUGAGAUCUGGAGCAUCCAGCUAAGAGUGUUGAUUUUUGUGUGCGUUGGAUUUAGUACUUAUCAGUGAUAUUGAUGAUAGCGUCUCAAACUGGACUUUUUGAUCAUUUGAUAAACGUUUUGAAAUUCAAGCGUGGUCCUCUUAUGCAACCUGUGACCUAUUACUUCUUAAUUUAUGGACUUUAAGUUUCAGUCAUCCCUAUAUCAUCAGGUAAUAUAACAAGGCUGUUGUUUAGAUCAUAUAAUCAAGCAUGUCUUAUCGAAAUUAGUGAUUGCCAUGUUUGUUGAAUUAAAGUUUCACUUGUCAGAUCAGUUUCCACACAUUGAAUUUUACUUAGGGUACCUCUUAAGGUUUUACCUUCUGCAAAGGUAUAACACCUACAGAUGAUCCGAUUUUUCUUCUUCUAGAUCCCCAUGUGUGUGUGUAUAUGCGCGUGGGUAACUAAUUUGCCCCGUGUAUAGGUAGACAACGAUCAAUAUGAGAGGGUGCUCAGCUACAUAUUGAUCCUUGUCAAUUCAGUACAAAUUUACUGAAUUUACAGAUGGAGCUAUAUGUCCUCGGUGAUGUACAAGCAAACACUAAAUUGUUGCAGUGUACAAUGUCCCUGAGUAAUUCCUGGCGCUACAAGUUUUAAAAUAAAAAGAUGACGGGUCUCUACCAUAUUCAGCCUCCGCUUUAGAAUUUGAUUUGAACUAUAGGACAACCGAUUGCAUUUGGUAAUUUAUGCACUAAUUCUCGGUCCUUUGUGUGAGCUAUGUUUUCCUUGCGCUUUUGCUUCUUAUUUACAUAUUGGUAUGGUGUCAGGUUUACUUGCCUACAAGUUUGGUUCCACUUGGUACGGACACCGUGCUCUGCUGUCAGCAUAUCUGUAGUAUCAGGAUAUUGUUACGACCUUGAAUGCUGAAUUUAAGGAUGUCUUAUCAUGUAUUACUUUGACUCCCUUCUGAAUUAUGAGGUCAUCCCAUAGUCGUCCACUAAUCUGGUGUCUGGUCCAUCUUCUUACCCUUAUCAUCCUCUGUCCAAUCUUGCCCUGACUGUACAGAUUGUCGAAUACUUCAAACAAUGAGCAAUUUGAAGUUCAUAAAUAUGACAAAUAUCUGAAAAUGGAUUCAUUUUUGUUGAAAUAACAUUGUGUAGAGUGGAAAUGCAGAACUAUAUGUUCCUAUUUCAACAACUGGUAUUGAAUAUAUGGUCAACCUUCUUAGAAAAAACUACAAAGUCUAAACAUUAUCGUGUGAUGCAUAUGGAAAAUUGUGAUGUCUAUUUUUCUGAAAUAUUUUUACUUUAGAAAAAGUUUUAAACAUGCCAUUGCAUUAUGUUUCAUAUUUUUGGCCAAGACGCUCUGCGGGGCGAUGGCACAUGGUCGGCAAGGCAGCGUUCUACAGCGCACCAGCCCGCAACGGAGGCGGCGCCCACGGCGCAGCCGUGGCCUUCGGUGCGCACCGCGGGGGUAGUGCUACCGGCCGCUGGCACGGCCCCGGAGCUGCUUCCCCAGACGGUGGUGCCCAUGGCUGUGGGCCCAUUGGCCCCCGGCCGGGUUCCCUGCGGAGGCGCGCGGGUGGCGGCCUCUGACUUGAAGUCUUCUUGAGAUUUGUACGCCGAUUGCUUGGCCGUCGCUUUGUACUGUCACUACGUGUACUGAAGAUUAGUUAUUUUGCUUUGACUUGGAGUGAGGUGCAGCGGGUUCAGGUUGCUGCUGCUGAUUUUUUUGUAUGUGAUGUUCUAAUGAUUGUGUGUCUGACCAAGCGUAGUUGCGCUUCUGACAAUGUAUUGGCCUUCCUUUGCUGCACCGAAGUUAGUGAAUUGUUCACCAUGCUUGACUUUGUUCUAAGCAGGGAAAUUUGUGGUGAUUUGUAAUCAAACUUGCAAAGAACAUCAUUACUUCUGAUUAUGUUUGAAGAGAUAUGAUGGAUGGUUGAUCUGA